AACGUAGGUGGCAAGCGUUAUCCGGAUUUACUGGGCGUAAAGCGUGUGCAGGCGGUUGUGGAAGUGGGGUAUGAAAUCGCCGCGCUUAACGUGGCGGGGUUAUGCCAGACUGCACAACUCGAACCCAUCAGAGGGACGUGGAAUUCCGGGUGUAGUGGUGAAAUGCGUAGAGAUCCGGAGGAACACCAGAGGCGAAAGCGGCGUCCUGGGGUGAGGUUGACGCUCAGACACGAAAGCAUGGGGAGCGAACGGG
rnacentral:rRNA from 1 species